ACCCGUCCAGGGCGCUGCCACCGCAAAUCCGACGUCACGAGUAUCAAUGUCGAUAAACUUGCCGUACUCCAAGCUGUAUACACAAACACAACGAUGCAGGUCUCUCAGCAGAAAAGAAGGAUAACAAGAAGCUAGAAGGUCCAUAAUAGGAACAACAAGAAAGAGAGAAAGUAAGAGAUGAUAAAAGUGGAAGGAGAGGAAGUUGAUGGAGAAACAGGAUAGAGAGAAUCCGCUAACAGUGGGCGGCUUUCCUCAAGGAACUCACAGUUAAACGAAUACACAGAGAAUUACGUUGGUAGGUUAACUGUCCGGUUGGAUGGUUGACUGGUGGUACUCUUGGUUUGCCGCUGCUGGCUCG
rnacentral:lncRNA from 1 species